rnacentral:rRNA from 1 species
ACAUCCCGCUGACCGCUCUGGAGACAGAGCUUCCCUUCGGGGCAGCGGUGACAGGUGGUGCAUGGUUGUCGUCAGCUCGUGUCGUGAGAUGUUGGGUUAAGUCCCGCAACGAGCGCAACCCUUAUUUUUAGUUGCCACCAUUCAGUUGGGCACUUUAGAGAGACUGCCGUGGCCAAGACGGAGGAAGGGGGGGAGGACGUCAAAUCAUCAGGCCCCUUAUGACCUGGGCUACACACGUGUUA